rnacentral:rRNA from 1 species
AUUGAACGCUGGCGGCAGGCCUAACACAUGCAAGUCGAGCGGAUGAAGAGAGCUUGCUCUCUGAUUUAGCGGCGGACGGGUGAGUAAUGCCUAGGAAUCUGCCUGGUAGUGGGGGAUAACGUCCGGAAACGGGCGCUAAUACCGCAUACGUCCUACGGGAGAAAGCAGGGGACCUUCGGGCCUUGCGCUAUCAGAUGAGCCUAGGUCGGAUUAGCUAGUUGGUGAGGUAAUGGCUCACCAAGGCUACGAUCCGUAACUGGUCUGAGAGGAUGAUCAGUCACACUGGAACUGAGACACGGUCCAGACUCCUACGGGAGGCAGAAGUGAGGAAUAUUGGACAAUGGGCGAAAGCCUGAUCCAGCCAUGCCGCGUGUGUGAAGAAGGUCUUCGGAUUGUAAAGCACUUUAAGUUGGGAGGAAGGGCAGUAAGUUAAUACCUUGCUGUUUUGACGUUACCGGCAGAAUAAGCACCGGCUAACUUCGUGCCAGCCGCCGCCGUAAGAC